CGGCUAACUAUGUGCCAGCACCGCCGGUAAUAUGUAGGUGGGCGAGCGUUUUCAUGAUUUUUUGGGGGUAUAGGGGGCGUAGGGGGAUUUUUUUGUGUGAUGUGAAAUAUUCCGGCUCUACCUGGGGGCUGCGUUUCUAUCUGUUUCUCUAGUGUGUGUGGGAGGGGAGGGUAAUUUCUAGUGUAUGGGGUGAAAUAGUGUGUAGAUAUGUGAAGAACCCCAGUGGCGAAGGGAGUUUCUUUGGUCUGUAACUGACGCUGAGGCUGGAAAGCGGGGGGAGCAAACACGAUUAGAUACCCCUGGUAGUCCACGCCGCAAACGAUGAAUACUAGGUGUAGGGGUUGUCAUGACCUCUGUGCCGCCGCUAACGCAUUAAGUAUUCCGCCUGGGGAGUACGGUCGCAAGAUUAAAACUCAAAGGAAUUGACGGGGGCCCGCACAAGCAGCGGAGCAUGUGGUUUAAUUCGAAGCAACGCGAAGAACCUUACCUAGACUUGACAUCUCCUGCAUUACCCUUAAUCGGGGAAGUCGCUUCGGCGACAGGAAGACAGGUGGUGCAUGGUUGUCGUCAGCUCGUGUCGUGAGAUGUUGGGUUAAGUCCCGCAACGAGCGCAACCCUUAUUGUUAGUUGCUACCAUUUAGUUGAGCACUCUAGCGAGACUGCCCGGGUUCACCGGGAGGAAGGUGGGGAUGACGUCAAAUCAUCAUGCCCCUUAUGUCUAGGGCUACACACGUGCUACAAUGGCAAGUACAAAGAGAAGCGAGACCGCGAGGUGGAGCAAAACUCAAAAACUUGUCUCAGUUCGGAUUGUAGGCUGAAACUCGCCUACAUGAAGCUGGAGUUGCUAGUAAUCGCGAAUCAGCAUGUCGCGGUGAAUACGUUCCCGGGCCUUGUACACACCGCCCGUCA
rnacentral:rRNA from 1 species